rnacentral:lncRNA from 1 species
UCCCCUCCAUACCCGGGUUUUGAGCAAUAUAAAUACACAACAGCAUAGCAUGUAUAGCCAUGCAAAAAAGAAAUUAAAUUACACUACAAUAGUAGUUUCCAUUAAUCAGCAUGAAGGCCAUUUUCAUUGCAUUCCUACUCUUGGCUUCCAUGGCCUUCCUACCCUCUUCAACUCUAGCAGCCCGUGAACUGGUAGCGGUCAAAGGUAAAAACACACUCUUUAAGUACGUUUUAAUUGUUUGAAAUACAAAUAUUGAUGUAAGGUGUUAUGAUUUAUUUUGAUCUCGAAGUACUUAAGAAUUUCUUGUCUAAUACAUGUAUCAGCACCAAAAUUUCGUUCUAUUAUUUUUGUCUAACCGUUUUCCCCUCACUAUUGCUUAAUUGGUAUAUAUCUUUUUGUUGAAUUAGUUAACAUAAUUGUGCUGUGGCAUUUAAUUUGAAGAUAUAUAUAUAUAAUAUAUGGUUGUCAUUUCAUAUAAAAUGAUUAUUCUAUAGUAUAAAUUAUGGAGAGUGUACUAAUGAAUGCAGGAGAGAAAGCAACAACAGUAGUAGUUGACCCUAAUAACCCAAAGGGGCCUGCUGUUAAAUGUCCACCAAAUACGCCUUAUGAAAAGUGCCUCAACCCGCCAUCUCCAAAAUGUAACAAAGUGUACAAUCGUGGCUGCAAAUGAUGACCAUCAAUAAAAAUCAAUCUGUAUAACUCACAUGCAGUUGUCUUAAUGUGAAGUUGGUAGUCGAAAAACGUUAGAUAAUUUAAUAUAUUCGAUUAAAUUAUCAUCUAAUAAUUAUCAAUUAUCAACUUCAUAUGAAAACAACUAUAAGUGAGUUUCUAUCGUAUACACAUAUCUAUGAAAAUAAAUAAAUUAGAUUUUAUCACUCAUGAGUGAUGAAGCAGCUUUCAUUAUUAGUCUAUAUAGUGAUAUGUAAAUAAUAAAACUCUCUUGAUGAUGAGUUUAAUUAAAUGUUGAAGUUUUACAGAGUUUAUCUGUGUCUUAUUGGAUAAUGUAUUUUGAUGUCAGUGUAUGUCAGAUUUCAAAAUAAAUCUAGUAAAAAAUGACAUAAGAAGAAGAAAAUUCUUCAAACAAUGAGUCAAUGAAUCCCAAAGCAUACAUAUAGUGAUG